rnacentral:lncRNA from 1 species
CUGACAAUGGAGAACAUAGUUUUGGAUACAAGUGAGGAAAACCAUCUCUAGAAUCCCUUGUGGUUCUAAGUCCUAUGGCUCUUUCCUGAUUUGAAAAGAGAGUCAAUCCUGGUCAAUAUUAUUUCUGGCGUGUCUUUGCUGCCUUUUCCUGAACUCAGGGAUUCUCCCUGCCACAGGUGUGUCUGGAUGGUGACAGAUGGGAAUCUUCUCCAGUGACCAGAAUCCAUGCCUUACCUUGGGAGCCCAAGUCAACGGUCAUAACUUUUUGAGGACAAAUGUUUAUUGCUGCUGCUGGGGGCAGCUGCUCUUGUACCCACUUUCAAAUGGGCUGUGGAAGAGACAACGCUCAUCUGGCUGCUGUUAUCCUGCAACUAAUAGAAGAAAGAAACAUGGAGAAAAUGGAGCAGAUAUUCAAAGUAACUGUAUUUGACUUUGGUUAGCAAUGAUACAGACUUGGCAGGCAUAAAACUGACUGUGCCAUUCUGACACCCUCACUCUCUCAGCAGGUCUGAUUUACUCCUGAUGUUCACUUCUGGUGAGUUAAUAUAUUAUAGCAGUUUAGAAUUAAUUGCACCCUGUUGUAUAAGUUAAUUCUCAU